UACGUAGGGACCAAGCGUUGUUCGGAAUUACUGGGCGUAAAGGGCUCGUAGGCGGCCAACUAAGUCGGAUGUGAAAUCCCCAGGCUUAACCUGGGAAUUGCAUUCGAAACUGCGAGGCUAGGGUACGGAAGAGGGAAGCGGAAUUUCUGGUGUAGCGGUGAAAUGCGUAGAUAUCAGAAGGAACAUCAGUGGCGAAAGCGGCUUCCUGGUCCAGUACCGACGUUCAGGCACGAAAGCGUGGGGAGCAAACAGG
rnacentral:rRNA from 1 species